UUUCCGUAGGUGAACCUGCGGAAGGAUCAUUAUUGUAUAACCGAGGUGCGAGGGCAGUCGCUGACCCGAAAGGUCGUGCACGCCCGAGUGCCCUCACACAUCCAUCUCACCCCUAUGUGCACCACCGCGUGGGUCCCCCUUUGGCUUGUUCGGAGGGGGGCUUACGUUUUCACACAAACUUUGUAUGCAGUGUAGAAUGUAUUUUUUGUUUUUGCGAUCACGCAAUCAAUACAACUUUCAACAACGGAUCUCUUGGCUCUC
rnacentral:misc_RNA from 1 species